GAAGUGCGAUAAGCAAUGCGAAUUGCAGAAUUCCGCGAAUCAUCAGAUCUUUGAACGCAAAUGGCGCUGGAGGGAUAUCCUUCCAGCAUGUCUGUUUCAGUGUCUGAGAGGUUUCAUACAAAUCUUAAUGUGAUUGAAGGGCGGUUGUUAUUGUAUUGUUGCUCUUAACAACAGCAACGAUCAUUAUCAGCUAGCUCUUCUCUCAUGAAAGAUGCGUGAGUGGAUCUUUCGGUCCAAUGAAGUGGUCACAUCACUCGCAUGUGAUUUCAUUGGGGAGACAACGAAUUAUCCGCAUGCUCACUGUAACAUAACAAUAACAACCACCCUCCAUACCCUGCAUCUGAGAUAGGCAAGAUCACCCGCUGAACUUAA
rnacentral:misc_RNA from 1 species